UACGAAGGGGGCUAGCGUUGCUCGGAAUCACUGGGCGUAAAGCGCACGUAGGCGGCUUUCUAAGUCAGGGGUGAAAUCCUGGAGCUCAACUCCAGAACUGCCUUUGAUACUGGGAGCUCGAGUCCGGAAGAGGUGAGUGGAACUCCGAGUGUAGAGGUGAAAUUCGUAGAUAUUCGGAAGAACACCAGUGGCGAAGGCGGCUCACUGGUCCGGUACUGACGCUGAGGUGCGAAAGCGUGGGGGAGCAAACAGG
rnacentral:rRNA from 1 species